CUCACUCUCUACCAUUAGUGCCUCACUCUCUCAUGUUUCUCUCUCUCAACUCUCAGCUCAACUCUGGAUCGAUAUCUCUCUCGGCUCUAUCUCAUGGUCUCUCUGCUACCGAUUCUUCACUCCCUUUGCUAUCACCGAUCCAACUCUCUCUAUCAUCAUCGUUUUGUUUCGAAUUCAGUAACAGCAAACAUACAAACCUUCAAUGUUACCCUUUAUCCCAAACAAACCCUAAGCCCCAAUUCGUUAUUGAUUUUCGGUGAUUUCAAGAGUAUAUUUACAAGUGAAUCAAAGCAAUUGCAAGGAAAAUAACAACGGGAAUGGAAAGCGGGACCUACAGAUGAUCUUCUUCAGGCAGAUCUAGGUGCAGAUUGGCUCCGGUGUGACAGACGAGAAGAUGAUUUGAGUAGUCGUCCCGGUUCCAUAGUCCAUUUAUUUUAAAGCUAUAUCUUUGGGACAGCUUGAUGAUGUGAUAGAUCUUGUGGUCCCUAGAGGAAGUAAUAAGCUGGUUUCUCAAAUCAAGGAGUCAACAAGAAUCCCUGUUCUUGGUCAUGCUGGUAAUAUAUCGUAUAUAAAAUAUAAAUUUACUAAUUUUACAUUUGAACUUUGAAUUGAUGAGCAGUUCAAACCAUAUUUAUGUAUUUUUGAUGAGUUCUCUAUUUGUGUACGGAAUGCAUGAGAGGGGCCAUGAUUAUUAUAAUGGAAUUACCAAGGAGCAAUUCAAGAAAAUGCAGGAAUUCAUAGCAGGAAGAAGUUCCAAGAAGCAGUCCAAACUAUAGGUUUUGUUUUGAUGAGUUCAUAUUGUUUUGUUUUGUUUCUCAUUGUUUCUCAUUAUUUUCACCGCGUCGGAACUCAAACGGCUACUGUGGCUCCCUUCAUUUUCAGGGGUAUCUCUUUAAAAUAACAAGUAGUUACUCUUUCAUUUCGCAUCACGCCUUGGUUUUCCUAUAGUACAUGUUAGGAUUGAUAACUAGGAUUAGGGCAUUCAAUUUUGUACCAUCUGGAAAUUGGAAGUAGAUUUUUGAAUCCGUCAAAUUGCUAGUGUAUAUUGUGAGUAAAUGUUAAAUUAGAUGAAAAUGUCAUUGUGAGAGAUCUAUGCACUUUUACUAGCAGC